rnacentral:ncRNA from 1 species
UGAUAGAGGUGCGGUAUUGCGUGUAAUACAGUUGAGAUUGCCGUGUUCACUGACGCUGUAUGAAUAGCCUUGCCGCCGAAAAGAUUUUCUCCUACGGCGGAGGUUUCUUUGGUUGUGUGCCGCAGCGGUAUAUGACUGUCAUCAUAUUCUGUGAUGGAGAGCUAUCG